rnacentral:rRNA from 1 species
CCCUUAGAUGAUUUGGGCUGCACGCGCGCUACACUGACCCUAACAAUGAGCAACUGUCUGGCCUGAGAUGGCUGGGUAGCCUUUUCAACCCAUGUCAUGAUUGGGCUAGAUUUUUGUAAGUCUUGAUCUCUAACGAGGAAUCCCUAGUAUGCGUGAAUCAUCAAUCCAUGCAGAUUAUGUCCCUGCCCUUUGUACACACCGCCCGUCGCUCCUACUGAUUGGGUGAGCUGUUCGGCCAUAGCAAUGUUUCUUGAGCAGGGCAAUGAAUGUUUCGCAAACCUUGCCACUUAGAGGAAGGAGAAGUCGUANCA